UUGAUUAUUUGUAUACCUCUUAAAUGUUCAAUUAUUUUGGGAUGGUUGUUUGAUUAAUGUAAACUGCGGGGAAUCGAAGAAAUGAGCGCAGAACGUGCUAUCGCGCAUGCUCAGUGGCACAGGAAACAGGAAGUUACAACUCGAAACCAAAUUGCGAUUCUGUUGUAUUUCGUGCAUCAUUUUCGACGAUUUGCAUCACAGAAAAACACCCCUUGUAUCCAUAUGUGCCCACUUCAUCGAUAACAUAUGUGACAUACACCAUCAGGACAAAGUCAUCUUCCACACUCAUCACUGAAUUCGGAGUGUUGCAUUAGGAUCACUGCCACGAGUGAAUCCAUUUUUCAAAUAAUUUGCACAUUUACAUCUGUGUGGGGGAAAUGGAUCAAACUAAAGAGCUCUCUGAAUUUCAGCAGGGUACUGUAAUAGGAUGCCACGUCUGCAACAAGUCAGUUGCUGAAAUUUCUUCUCUCCUGAAUAUUCCAGAAGCAACUAUAAAUGAUGUUAUUACAAAGUGGAAGCAAUCAGGCUCCUCGGCAACUCAGCCAAGAGGUGGCAGACGGCGUAAAGGUACAGAGACGGACUAGCAUCGUGCACAAGUGUAGUCACGCUCUGCUACCUCAAUUCAUUGUUGGCUUCCUGACCUCCUCUGGCAUUAGCAUCAGUACAAACAUUACGCUGGGACUUUGGUGGCAUGUUUUCAUGGAGUAGCAGCCGUAUACAAGUUCAACACAGCAAAGCACAUCUGGUGCUCAACAUAAAUGAGUACAUACCUGUACAUCUCACAACACGUUUGUUCAACAAAGAUGAAUCAAUAUUUUCUACGGCACACCGUCCUCCAACACUCCCACAAAUGCAGGCCAUUGAUUGCAAAUUAAAUUACCUGAGUGUUUAAACCUCCAUUGUGAUGCUGUAACUAUGUGUAUCUUGAUGUGGGUGGGAUCAGUGAAGUCUUCUAUCUGUGAGCACUCA